UACAGAGGUCCCAAGCGUUGUUCGGAUUCAUUGGGCGUAAAGGGUGCGUAGGCGGCGCGGUAAGUCGGGUGUGAAAUCUCGGGGCUUAACUCCGAAACUGCAUUCGAUACUGCCGUGCUUGAGGACUGGAGAGGAGACUGGAAUUUACGGUGUAGCGGUGAAAUGCGUAGAUAUCUGGAGGAACACCGGUGGCGAAGGCGGCAUCCUGGACCAACACUGACACUGAGGAGCGAAAGCCAGGGGAGCAAACGGG
rnacentral:rRNA from 1 species